rnacentral:rRNA from 1 species
UUUUCAGAGAUGAGAAUGUGCCUUCGGGAACCGUGAGACAGGUGCUGCAUGGCUGUCGUCAGCUCGUGUUGUGAAAUGUUGGGUUAAGUCCCGCAACGAGCGCAACCCUUAUCCUUUGUUGCCAGCGGUCCGGCCGGGAACUCAAAGGAGACUGCCAGUGAUAAACUGGAGGAAGGUGGGGAUGACGUCAAGUCAUCAUGGCCCUUACGACCAGGGCUACACACGUGCUACAAUGGCGCAUACAAAGAGAAGCGACCUCGCGAGAGCAAGCGGACCUCAUAAAGUGCGUCGUAGUCCGGAUUGGAGUCUGCAACUCGACUCCAUGAAGUCGGAAUCGCUAGUAAUCGUGGAUCAGAAUGCCACGGUGAAUACGUUCCCGGGCCUUGUACACACCGCCCGUCACACCAUGGGAGUGGGUUGCAAAAGAAGUAGGUAGCUUAAGCUUCGGGAGGGCGCUUACCACUUUGUGAUUCAUGACUGGGGUGAAGUCGUAACAAGGUAACCGUAGGGGAACCUGCGGUUGGAUCACCUCCUUACCUUAAAGAA